GAUGAACGCUGGCGGCGUGCCUAAUACAUGCAAGUCGAGCGAACAGAUGAGGAGCUUGCUCCUCUGACGUUAGCGGCGGACGGGUGAGUAACACGUGGAUAACCUACCUAUAAGACUGGGAUAACUUCGGGAAACCGGAGCUAAUACCGGAUAAUAUAUUGAACCGCAUGGUUCAAUAGUGAAAGACGGUUUUGCUGUCACUUAUAGAUGGAUCCGCGCCGCAUUAGCUAGUUGGUAAGGUAACGGCUUACCAAGGCAACGAUGCGUAGCCGACCUGAGGGGGUGGUCGGCCACACUGGAACGUAGACACGGUCCAGACUCCUACGGGAGGCAGCAGUAGGGAAUCUUCCGCAAUGGGCGAAAGCCUGACGGAGCAACGCCGCGUGAGUGAUGAAGGUCUUCGGAUCGUAAAACUCUGUUAUUAGGGAAGAACAAAUGUGUAAGUAACUAUGCACGUCUUGACGGUACCUAAUCAGAAAGCCACGGCUAACUACGUG
rnacentral:rRNA from 1 species